rnacentral:rRNA from 1 species
GAUGAACGCUGGCGGCGUGCUUAACACAUGCAAGUCGAACGGUGAAGGCGGAGCUUGCUCUGCUGGAUCAGUGGCGAACGGGUGAGUAACACGUGAGCAAUCUGCCCCUGACUCUGGGAUAAGCGCUGGAAACGGCGUCUAAUACUGGAUACGAGCUGCGAAGGCAUCUUCAGCAGCUGGAAAGAAUUUCUGCCAGGGAUGAGCUCGCGGCCUAUCAGCUUGUUGGUGAGGUAAUGGCUCACCAAGGCGUCGACGGGUAGCCGGCCUGAGAGGGUGACCGGCCACACUGGGACUGAGACACGGCCCAGACUCCUACGGGAGGCAGCAGUGGGGAAUAUUGCACAAUGGGCGAAAGCCUGAUGCAGCAACGCCGCGUGAGGGACGACGGCCUUCGGGUUGUAAACCUCUUUUAGCAGGGAAGAAGCGAAAGUGACGGUACCUGCAGAAAAAGCGCCGGCUAACUACGUG